CAGAUCAGGUAAUGAUGGGAAAUAUAGUACAUGGGGAACAGAUGACAGAGGCAACACAGGCAGAUGGCUAGAAGAACUGAAUAAGUCCAGCAGAAGGCCAGGACAGCAGAGUUGAACAGGUGGAAAGCCACAAACAUUCAAAUAUUGACCAAUACUGAACAGAAAUCAGGGCAUUAUAUACACAAAGACUAAUGAGAUAAUUAAACACAGGUGAGGAAUAAUGGGAAACAGCUGGAGGUGAUCAGAUCAGGUAAUGAUGGGAAAUAUAGUACAUGGGGAACAGAUGACAGAGGCAACACAGGCAGAUGGCUAGAAGAACUGAAUAAGUCCAGCAGAAGGCCAGGACAGCAGAGCUGAUCAGGUGGACAGCCACAAACAAACAUUCAACUACUGAACAGAAAUCAGGGCAUUAUAUACACAAAGACUAAUGAGAUAAUUAAACACAGGUGUGGAAUAAUGGGAAACAGCUGGAGGUGAUCAGAUCAGGUAAUGAUUGGAAAUAUAGUACAUGGGGAACAGAUGACAGAUCUAACACACCAGAGGCAAGGGAAUGAGGAGAACAUGGCCCAGAUGAAGUCGGAGAGCAGUGAGACUGGAGCAGAUCAAGCAGAUGGCCAGGAGGCCCAGGAGACCAGAGAGGAUCAGGUGGAACGCCACGAGACAUGAGCAGGUCAGGCAGAUGGCUAGAAGAACAGAGCAAGUCCAGCAGAAGGCCAGGACAGCAGAGCUGAUCAGGUGGACAGCCACAAACAAACAUUCAACUACUGAACAGAUAUCAGGGCAUUAUAUACACAAAGACUAAUGAGAUAAUUAAACACAGGUGAGGAAUAAUGGGAAACAGCUGGAGGUGAUCAGAUCAGGUAAUGAUGGGAAAUAUAGUACAUGGGGAACAGAUGACAGAGGCAACACAGGCAGAUGGCUAGAAGAACAGAACAAGUCCAGCAGAAGGCCAGGACAGCAGAGCUGAUCAGGUGGACAGCCACGACACCAGAGACACCAGAGCAGGUCCAGUAGACGGCCAGGAAAGUAGAAAUCCACGGUAGAAAACAAUAAUAUAAAGAGGAAAAAACAUCCUCGUAGGGC